rnacentral:rRNA from 1 species
GCCUUUGAGCGGGGGACAACAUUUGGAAACGAAUGCUAAUACCGCAUAAAAACUUUAAACACAAGUUUUAAGUUUGAAAGAUGCAAUUGCAUCACUCAAAGAUGAUCCCGCGUUGUAUUAGCUAGUUGGUGAGGUAAAGGCUCACCAAGGCGAUGAUACAUAGCCGACCUGAGAGGGUGAUCGGCCACAUUGGGACUGAGACACGGCCCAAACUCCUACGGGAGGCAGCAGUAGGGAAUCUUCGGCAAUGGACGAAAGUCUGACCGAGCAACGCCGCGUGAGUGAAGAAGGUUUUCGGAUCGUAAAACUCUGUUGGUAGAGAAGAACGUUGGUGAGAGUGGAAAGCUCAUCAAGUGACGGU